GACGAACGCUGGCGGCGUGCUUAACACAUGCAAGUCGAACGAAGUGGCGAACGGGUGAGUAACGCGUAAUCAACCUGCCCUUCAGAGGGGGACAACAGUUGGAAACGACUGCUAAUACCGCAUACUGAAGGAGGGGAUUGCGUCUGAUUAGCUAGGUGGAGGGGUAACGGCCCACCAAGGCGAUGAUCAGUAGCCGGUCUGAGAGGGUGAACGGCCAAAUUGGGACGGAGACACGGACCAGACUCCUACGGGAGGCAGCAGUGGGGAAACUUCCGCAAUGGACGAAAGUCUGACGGAGCAACGCCGCGUGAGUGAUGACGGCCUUCGGGUUGUAAAGCUCUGUUAAUCGGGACGCGGUACCGGAAUAGAAAGCCACGGCUAACUACGUGCCAGCAGCCGCGGUAAAAC
rnacentral:rRNA from 1 species